GGGGGCGUAAAGGUUUCGACGUGGGUUUGGAACUUGGGGCUGCGUGUCGUGUUACUCUGGGUCACGUAAAAACUGGGGACUUAAAACAAACGCAAACGAUAAUUACGCACUAGCAGCUUAGUUCUGCUCGUUCCUCCUAGCCCUCCUGCCGGUUAGGACUGAACGUCAUUAUGCAGGGAACUACUUUUUGGGUGUCUCGACCUAAAGUGGAUUAAUUGGGACUGGUCGACCACACAGCUUGCCGCUGGGCGGUGUGUUAGACGAGAAACUAAAUCAGUCGGAUACACACGUAGAUGCAACGAGGAAAGGACUUGCGGACAGGGGUUCGACUCCCCUCGUCUCCACCA
rnacentral:tmRNA from 1 species